ACCAAGGCGACGAUCGGUAGCUGGUCUGAGAGGACGACCAGCCACACUGGAACUGAGACACGGUCCAGACUCCUACGGGAGGCAGCAGUGGGGAAUAUUGGACAAUGGGCGCAAGCCUGAUCCAGCCAUGCCGCGUGGGUGAAGAAGGCCUUCGGGUUGUAAAGCCCUUUUGUCCGGAAAGAAAAGCAUUCGGUUAAUACCCGGGUGUUCUGACGGUACCGGAAGAAUAAGCACCGGCUAACUUCGUGCCAGCAGCCGCGGUAAUACGAAGGGUGCAAGCGUUACUCGGAAUUACUGGGCGUAAAGCGUGCGUAGGUGGUUCGUUAAGUCUGUCGUGAAAUCCCCGGGCUCAACCUGGGAAUGGCGAUGGAUACUGGCGGGCUAGAGUGCGGUAGAGGAGAGUGGAAUUCCCGGUGUAGCAGUGAAAUGCGUAGAGAUCGGGAGGAACAUCAGUUGCGAAGGCGGCUCUCUGGACCAGCACUGACACUGAGGCACGAAAGCGUGGGGAG
rnacentral:rRNA from 1 species